GACGAACGCUGGCGGCGUGCUUAACACAUGCAAGUCGAGCGGUAAGGCCCUUUCGGGGUACGACGAGCGGCGAACGGGUGAGUAACACGUGGGUGACCUGCCCUCAGCUCUGGGAGUAAGCCUGGGAAACCGGGGUCUAAUACCGGAUAUGACUCCAUGACGCAUGUUGGUGGGGUGGAAAGCCUUGUGCGGCUGAGGAUGGGCCCGCGGCCUAUCAGCUUGUUGGUGGGGUGAGGCCUACCAAGGCGACGACGGGUAGCCGGCCUGAGAGGGCGACCGGCCACACUGGGACUGAGACACGGCCCAGACUCCUACGGGAGGCAGCAGUGGGGAAUCUUGCGCAAUGGGCGAAAGCCUGACGCAGCGACGCCGCGUGAGGGAUGACGGCCU
rnacentral:rRNA from 1 species